rnacentral:rRNA from 1 species
GAUGAACGCUAGCGGCAGGCUUAACACAUGCAAGUCGAGGGGUAUAGUAGCAAUACUAGAGACCGGCGCACGGGUGCGUAACGCGUAUGCAACCUACCUUUUACAGAGGGAUAGCCCAGAGAAAUUUGGAUUAAUACCUCAUAGUGUUAUUAGAUGGCAUCAUUUGAUAACUAAAGUUCCAACGGUAAAGAUGGGCAUGCGUCCUAUUAGCUAGAUGGUAAGGUAACGGCUUACAUGGCUACGAUAGGUAGGGGUCCUGAGAGGGAGAUCCCCCACACUGGUACUGAGACAC